GAUGAACGCUGGCGGCGUGCCUAAUACAUGCAAGUCGAGCGAACAGAUAAGGAGCUUGCUCCUUUGACGUUAGCGGCGGACGGGUGAGUAACACGUGGGUAACCUACCUAUAAGACUGGAAUAACUCCGGGAAACCGGGGCUAAUGCCGGAUAACAUUUAGAACCGCAUGGUUCUAAAGUGAAAGAUGGUUUUGCUAUCACUUAUAGAUGGACCCGCGCCGUAUUAGCUAGUUGGUAAGGUAACGGCUUACCAAGGCAACGAUACGUAGCCGACCUGAGAGGGUGAUCGGCCACACUGGAACUGAGACACGGUCCAGACUCCUACGGGAGGCAGCAGUAGGGAAUCUUCCGCAAUGGGCGAAAGCCUGACGGAGCAACGCCGCGUGAGUGAUGAAGGUAUUCGGAUCGUAAAACUCUGUUAUUAGGGAAGAACAAAUGUGUAAGUAACUGAGCACGUCUUGACGGUACCUAAUCAGAAAGCCACGGCUAACUACGUG
rnacentral:rRNA from 1 species